UACAGAGGGGGCAAGGCGUUGUUCGGAAUCACUGGGCGUAAAGCGCACGUAGGCGGAUGUGCCAGUCAGGGGUGAAAUCCCGGGAGCUCAACUCCGGAACUGCCUCUGAUACAGCACGUCUUGAGUUCGAGAGAGGUGGGUGGAAUUCCUAGUGUAGAGGUGAAAUUCGUAGAUAUUAGGAAAGAACACCGGUGGCGAAGGCGGCCCACUGGCUCGAUACGUGACGCUGAGGUGCGAA
rnacentral:rRNA from 1 species